AUUGAACGCUGGCGGCAUGCUUUACACAUGCAAGUCGAGCGGCAGCGCGGGGGCAACCCUGGCGGCGAGCGGCGAACGGGUGAGUAAUGCAUCGGAACGUAUCCUCGAGUGGGGGAUAACCCAGCGAAAGUUGCGCUAAUACCGCAUGAGCUCUGAGGAGGAAAGCGGGGGACCUUCGAGGGCCUCGCGCUGGAGGAACGGCCGAUGUCCGAUUAGCUAGUUGGUGGGGUAAAGGCUUACCAAGGCGACGAUCGGUAGCUGGUCUGAGAGGAUGAUCAGCCACACUGGGACUGAGACACGGCCCAGACUCCUACGGGAGGCAGCAGUGGGGAAUUUUGGACAAUGGGGGCAACCCUGAUCCAGCCAUGCCGCGUGAGUGAAGAAGGCCUUCGGGUUGUAAAGCUCUUUCGGACGGAACGAAAUGGGCGGGACUAAUACUCCGGUGUGAUGACGGUACCGAAAGAAGAAGCACCGGCUAACUACGUG
rnacentral:rRNA from 1 species